rnacentral:rRNA from 1 species
UACGAAGGGGGCGAGCGUUGUUCGGAUUUACUGGGCGUAAAGGGCGCGCAGGCGGCUCAUUUUGUCAGGCGUGAAAGCCCCGGGCUUAACCUGGGAACUGCGUUUGAUACUGCCGGACUAGAGUUCGGAAGAGGCGAGUGGAAUUCCCGGUGUAGCGGUGAAAUGCGCAGAUAUCGGGAGGAACACCUAUGGCGAAGGCAGCUCGCUGGGACGUUACUGACGCUGAGACGCGAAAGCGUGGGGAGCAAACAGG